AAAAUGACUCUCGGCAACGGAUAUCUCGGCUCUUGCAUCGAUGAAGAACGUAGCGAAAUGCGAUACUUGGUGUGAAUUGCAGAAUCCCGUGAACCAUCGAGUCUUUGAACGCAAGUUGCGCCCGAAGCCAUUAGGUUGAGGGCACGCCUGCCUGGGUGUCACAAAUCGUU
rnacentral:rRNA from 1 species